UAGAGUUUGAUCCUGGCUCAGAUUGAACGCUGGCGGCAUGCCUUACACAUGCAAGUCGGACGGCAGCGCGGGCUUCGGCCUGGCGGCGAGUGGCGAACGGGUGAGUAAUACAUCGGAACAUGUCCAGUAGUGGGGGAUAGCCCGGCGAAAGCCGGAUUAAUACCGCAUACGAUCUGUGGAUGAAAGCGGGGGAUCGCAAGACCUCGCGCUAUUGGGGUGGCCGAUGGCGGAUUAGCUAGUUGGUGGGGUAAAGGCCUACCAAGGCGACGAUCCGUAGCUGGUCUGAGAGGACGACCAGCCACACUGGGACUGAGACACGGCCCAGACUCCUACGGGAGGCAGCAGUGGGGAAUUUUGGACAAUGGGCGCAAGCCUGAUCCAGCAAUGCCGCGUGUGUGAAGAAGGCCUUCGGGUUGUAAAGCACUUUUGUCCGGAAAGAAAUCCUUUUCGAUAAUACCGAAGGGGGAUGACGGUACCGGAAGAAUAAGCACCGGCUAACUACGUGCCAGCAGCCGCGGUAAUACGUAGGGUGCGAGCGUUAAUCGGAAUUACUGGGCGUAAAGCGUGCGCAGGCGGUGAUGCAAGACCGAUGUGAAAUCCCCGGGCUUAACCUGGGAACUGCAUUGGUGACUGCAUCGCUAGAGUAUGGCAGAGGGGGGUAGAAUUCCACGUGUAGCAGUGAAAUGCGUAGAGACGUGGAGGAAUACCGAUGGCGAAGGCAGCCCCCUGGGUCAAUACUGACGCUCAUGCAC
rnacentral:rRNA from 1 species